UGGGGGGACUGGGGAGCGUUGCCCUGGGAAACGGAAGUGGAAUCAGAAACCCAGAGUUGGCCGGGCGCGGUGGUUCAUGCCUGUAAUCCCAGCGCUUUGGGAGGCCAAGGCGGGCCGAUCACGAGGCUGUCCAGUGACAAACCACAGGCUCUCACAGAUGCCUGCCAAAGCUGGGCAGAAAGUGCUCUGUCCCCAGACCGCCUGCUCGACACCAGCCAGGCCCGGGCAGGGUCCAGAGAGGUGAAAAGCCCAGCUCUGGAUUGGCCACCGUGCUUCCUUCUUGAAAGAUUUCUAAAGCCACCACACUGAGUUUUCUAGGACAAGAAAUUCACAGCCGGGAUCAGCAGUUUCUAUAGAGACCCCAGGAUGAGUCUGGCCAGGACCCAGACAGCCAACAGAGGCUCAGGGAACCUGGCCAGAGACCGAAAGAGAUGCAGAGACACAAAGGCCACACGUGGGAGAGAUACCAGGUUACAGGGCAGACAGAGGGGAACAAGCCAGUCCUACAGCAAGCCCAGAGACAUGGCGGAGAGGUGGCGGCCCCGGGGAUCUGAGAAGGGAGAGGGGUUCCCACCCCACGCAGGGUGGCCUCGGCCAGCCCUCCCUGCAUGGGUCCCCCCUUUGCAAUUACGCAGAAAGCUGCUGGAUACUCCACUGUUUGGUCGUUUCCAUAGUAACCCUGUCCCUGGCAAGAUGCCCAAAUAUUAUUACAACCAUCCAGAGGAGAGAACAAUCCAAGUGGCUGUCUCUCUGAGCGUGUGUAAUAUCCAUCCUGUGUACGUGCCGUCUGGGCCUCCAAAGGUACUUCCUGUGACUGCCUGUCAGUCAUGUGUGUGUCCAGAUGCAUCUAUGUGUGUGUGCAGAGCCACCAACAAACAUGCUGAUGCUGAGCUCUGAUAAUGCCUGGAGUCUCUGUUGCUGGGGUAAAUCGCAUGCCCUCAUCUAUCUCCCGUUCACCCUCAUAUACAUGUGCACGCGUACACACACAUACACACAUAGGCUCCGCACACUUCACAUCGCCCGAGCCACCUCAUUCACACACUCGCUGUUUUCAAAGCAGACACUUGCUC